rnacentral:rRNA from 1 species
AUCUGGCUGUCGAGAUGCCUAAAAAGCAUUUCAUAGCAAGGGCCGGGCAAGACCGGUGCCAGCCGCCGCGGUAACACCGGCGGCUCGAGUGGUAACCGUUAUUAUUGGGUCUAAAGGGUCUGUAGCCGGCCGGAUAAGUCUCUUGAGAAAUCUGGCAGCUUAACUGUCAGGCUUUCAGGAGAUACUGUCUGGCUCGAGGCCGGGAGAGGUGAGAGGUACUUCAGGGGUAGGGGUGAAAUCUUGUAAUCCUUGAAGGACCACCAGUGGCGAAGGCGUCUCACCAGAACGGACCUGACGGCAAGGGACGAAAGCUAGGGGCACGAACCGGAUUAGAUACCCGGGUAGUCCUAGCCGUAAACGAUACUCGCUAGGUGUCGGCCACGGUGCGACCGUUGUCGGUGCCGUAGGGAAGCCGUGAAGCGAGCCAC